UCUUCUCAUAUGGUACAGGUACCACUGUGGAUUUGCCUAAAGCUUUCCCUGGGGGAGAUGAAAAGCGGAUGAACAUCAUUCAAUGAAUGGGUUCAUGGAGGUUGCAGUGAGCUGAGAUCGCGCCAUUGCACUCCAGCAUGGGCAACAAGAGCAAAACUCUGUCUCAAAAAAAACUAAAUAAAAAAUAAAAAUAAAUGGCAA